ensembl:piRNA 21ur-2976 ncRNA
UCGUUGAUCUCAUCUCUCUCU